UGCGCAGUCGGGAAAUUAAGUCAGUGGUGAAAUCCUGCAGCUUAACUGUAGAAUUGCCAUUGAUACUGAUUUUCUUGAGUGCAGUUGAGGUGGGCGGAAUGUGUAAUGUAGCGGUGAAAUGCUUAGAUAUUACACAGAACACCGAUUGCGUAGGCAGCUCACUAAACUGUUACUGACGCUCAGGCACGAAAGCGUGGGGAGCGAACAGGAUUAGAUACCCUGGUAGUCC
rnacentral:rRNA from 1 species